AAAAUUUGCACUCAAAGUGGAUUAGAGACUUAAAUGUACGAUCCGAAACUGUAAAAGUCCUGGAAGAACACAAAGGGAAGAGCUCCCUGGCGUGGGUCUCAGCGAUGAUUCCUCAGAUCUGACACCAAGAGCAAGCAUGGGCAGGUGGAAGGAUGUGGAGACAGCCGCACCGCAGAGAGGCCCCGCGGCAAAGGCAACAGGCAGAACAGGAGAAGAAUAUUUGCAAACCAGGGAUCUGCGUGUAAUGAAUUGCGCCCCUGCAUCUCUUAACGACGAAGCAUCUCCAUGUUCUUCGGAUAAACCCAGCUUGGCCACGGCUUAUGUGUUUAAUGUGCUGCUGAGCUGUUGCCAGCGUUACUCGGCGUGCUCACCUCUGCCCUCAUCCAGAAGGAAUGUCGGUAACCCGGGGCGUGGGCGAGGGCGUCCUCGGCAGGGUAUUGUGUGGAGGUUUUAUGAAAUGACGGGUCGUUUGUCUCUGUUUUUCUCCGUUCUAGAACCGUUUGUAUCAACAGGGAUUACGUGUCCUCUGUGUAUUGGCUAAAAUCGCUUGAAAAGCUG